AUUAAACGCUGGCGGCAUGCCUUACACAUGCAAGUCGAACGGCAGCACGGGGGCAACCCUGGUGGCGAGUGGCGGACGGGUGAGUAAUGCAUCGGAACGUGCCCUGAAGUGGGGGGAUAACGCAGCGAAAGCUACGCUAAUACCGCAUAUUCUGUGAGCAGGAAAGCAGGGGAUCGCAAGACCUUGCGCUUUGGGAGCGGCCGAUGUCGGAUUAGCUAGUUGGUGGGUAAAGGCCUACCAAGGCGACGAUCCGUAGCGGGUCUGAGAGGAUGAUCCGCACACUGGGACUGAGACACGGCCCAGACUCCUACGGAGGCAGCAGUGGGGAAUUUUGGGACAAUGGGCGGAAGCCUGAUCCAGCCAUGCCGCGUGGGUGAAGAAGGCCU
rnacentral:rRNA from 1 species